AACGAACGCUGGCGGCAGGCUUAACACAUGCAAGUCGAGCGAGAUGCUUUCUUCGGAGAGUUAUCUAGCGGCGGACGGGUGAGUAACACGUGGGAACAUGCCAAUCACUACGGAAUAGUCCCGGGAAACUGGGUUUAAUACCGUAUACGCCCUUCGGGGGAAAGAAUUUCGGUGAUUGAUUGGCCCGCGCUUGAUUAGAUAGUUGGUGGGGUAAUGGCCUACCAAGUCUACGAUCAAUAGCUGGUUUGAGAGGAUGAUCAGCCACACUGGGACUGAGACACGGCCCAGACUCCUACGGGAGGCAGCAGUGAGGAAUAUUGGACAAUGGGGGCAACCCUGAUCCAGCCAUGCCGCGUGAGUGAUGAAGGCCUUAGGGUCGUAAAGCUCUUUCGCUAGGGAAGAUAAUGACGGUACCUAGUAAAGAAACCCCGGCUAACUCCG
rnacentral:rRNA from 1 species